GACGGAGGGUGCAAGCGUUGCUCGGAAUCACUGGGCGUAAAGGGCGCGUAGGCGGUCUGCUAAGUUGGAUGUGAAAACUCUGGGCUUAACCCAGAGCCUGCAUUCAAUACUGACAGGCUAGAGUUCUGGAGGGGAUAGCGGAAUUCCUGGUGUAGCGGUGAAAUGCGUAGAUAUCUGGAGGAACACCGGUGGCGAAGGCGGCAUCCUGGACCAUUAUUGACGCUGAGGAGCGAAAGCCAGGGGAGCAAACGGG
rnacentral:rRNA from 1 species